UACAGAGGUCCCAAGCGUUGUUCGGAUUCACUGGGCGUAAAGGGUGCGUGGGCGGUCGGGUAAGUCUGAUGUGAAAUCUCACAGCUUAACUGUGAAACUGCAUUGGAUACUAUUCGGCUUGAGAGUUGGAGGGGGGACUGGAAUUCUCGGUGUAGCAGUGAAAUGCGUAGAUAUCGAGAGGAACACCAGUGGCGAAGGCGAGUCCCUGGACAACUUCUGACGCUGAGGCACGAAAGCUAGGGGAGCAAACAGG
rnacentral:rRNA from 1 species